CUCAACAGAGCGUCUUGUUUAGUUACCAAUUCACGUACGUAAUACAAAAGUAUACAAAUUUGCCAACUUUGAAGGGCUAUAUUUUCCGUAUUUUACAACAUUUCGCAACCAAACUUUGUAAUAUUACUAAUUCCAAGACGCUCUUUCCAGCUGUGGUGAUAGAUUUCGUUGUUCUUACUUAGAUUAAAAUUUAGUCUAAAGCGCAAGUCGUCC